rnacentral:rRNA from 1 species
UAAUACAGAGGGUGCGAGCGUUGUCCGGAAUCACUGGGCGUAAAGGGUGAGUAGGUGGCCUGUUAAGCGUGUGGUGAAAGCCUGGGGCUCAACCCCAGGUCUGCCGUGCGAACUGACAGGCUUGAGCAGAGUAGAGGCGAGUGGAAUUUCGGGUGUAGCGGUGGAAUGCGUAGAUAUCCGAAAGAACACC